UGGGGAAUAUUGGACAAUGGGCGAAAGCCUGAUCCAGCCAUGCCGCGUGUGUGAUGAAGGCCUUCGGGUUGUAAAGCACUUUCACACGUGACGAUGAUGACGGUAACGUGAGAAGAAGCCCCGGCUAACUUCGUGCCAGCAGCCGCGGUAAUACGAAGGGGGCAAGCGUUGUUCGGAAUUACUGGGCGUAAAGGGCGCGUAGGCGGUGCACUAAGUCAGGCGUGAAAGCCCUGGGCUCAACCCGGGAAUUGCGCUUGAUACUGGUGCGCUUGAAUCCAGGAGAGGUUGGUGGAAUUCCCAGUGUAGAGGUGAAAUUCGUAGAGAUUGGGAAGAACACCGGUGGCGAAGGCGGCCAACUGGACUGGUAUUGACGCUGAGGCGCGAAAGCGUGGGGAGCAAACA
rnacentral:rRNA from 1 species